GCAUCGCUGGGGAGUCCCACAAUAGGACGAAACGGCCGUCCAGUGC
rnacentral:hammerhead_ribozyme from 1 species